CACACACACACAUAUGUAUAUGUAUAUGUAUAUGUAUAUGUAUAUGUAUAUGUAUAUGUAUGUGUGUAUGUGUA